GAUGAACGCUGGCGGCGUGCCUAAUACAUGCAAGUCGAGCGAACAGACGAGGAGCUUGCUCCUCUGACGUUAGCGGCGGACGGGUGAGUAACACGUGGAUAACCUACCUAUAAGACUGGGAUAACUUCGGGAAACCGGAGCUAAUACCGGAUAAUAUAUUGAACCGCAUGGUUCAAUAGUGAAAGACGGUUUUGCUGUCACUUAUAGAUGGAUCCGCGCCGGAUUAGCUAGUUGGUAGGGUAACGGCUUACCAAGGCAACGAUGCGUAGCCGACCUGAGAGGGUGAUCGGCCACACUGGAACUGAGACACGGUCCAGACUCCUACGGGAGGCAGCAGUAGGGAAUCUUCCGCAAUGGGCGAAAGCUUGACGGAGCAACGCCGCGUGAGUGAUGAAGGUCUUCGGAUCGUAAAACUCUGUUAUUAGGGAAGAACAAAUGUGUAAGUAACUAUGCACGUCUUGACGGUACCUAAUCAGAAAGCCACGGCUAACUGCGUG
rnacentral:rRNA from 1 species